GGUUAUACAAUCAAUGGUCGGUAGUGAUUAUUCGUCAUAAUUUAAUUUUUCGACUAUUGAACUGAAGAUCGAAUCUCUCGAUUGUGUAACUGAGGAUGAAGAGUUUUCAGCAAAAUUACAAUAAAUAGCACAAUUUGACAGCAAAUAAUUCAUACUCUUGUGUUCGACUGACUAAUACUUAGAUCGUUAUUAAAUACAAUCAGAACCAAAAUGUCGAAAACACCUUUAUUAUUAUUAUCAAUUUUCUUAAUGAUUGGUCUCUAUACGAGUGCAGUUGAAGGAUGUGCGGGCGGUUGGUGCCAUCCUCAGCAAGGUUACGAGUGUUGUGCAGGUUAUCAAUGUAACCAUUGGUGGGUUCAAGGUAAUUGCGUAACAGAUGCGGAACAUGAUUAUUUGCAUAGGAGUCUAAGGCUAUAAGAAGGUAGAAAGAAAUGAUUAUGAUGUAUGAUUUGGUAGAAACCUACAAAAUAUUAGCUGAUAAAUCCACCAAAGAUGGCUCUUUGUAAUAAUAAUAAUUAAAGAACUAAACAAAUUCAUAAA